GGAGGAGCACAGGGGAUCGCCGGCGGAUCCGCUGGCGCGCUGGAGCACGGGCCUCGGCCCGAAUCGGCAGCGCCGGCACCGCGGGAGGAAAGUCCGGGCACCACAGGGCAGGAUGCCGGGUAACCCCCGGUCAGGGCGACCUGGAGGAAAGUGCAACAGAGAGCAGACCGCCACCUACGGGUCCGGCGCCGCUCGCCCCCCAUCCCUUGGGUCGUUGGGGGCCAGAGGUCCGGGCGCGGGGUUUACCCGCGCGGUCAGGUUGAAAGGGUGCGGUAAGAGCGCACCGGCGCCCCUGGAGACAGGGGCGGCCAGGCAAACCCCAUCCGGUGCAAGGUCAAAUGGGGGGCACAUGGGGCGGCUCGCCCCAGCUCCCGGGUAGACCGCUUGAGCCCGCCGGUGACGGCGGGCCUAGACGAAUGAUCUCCACCGCGGGCGGCGCGAGCGGCCCGCGGAACAGAACUCGGCUUAUGGGCGCCUCCAGCC
rnacentral:RNase_P_RNA from 1 species